GCCGGGCGCGGUGGCGCGCACCUGUAGUUCCAGCUACUCAGGAGGCUGAGGUGGGAGGAUCGCUCGAGUCCAGGAGUUCCGGGCUGCAGUGCGCUAUGCCGAUCCGGUGUCCGCACUAAGCUCGGCAUCAAUAUGGUAACCUCCCAGGAGGGUAACCUCCCCGGAGCGGGGGACCACCAGGUUGCCUAAGGAGGGGUGAACCGGCCCAGGUCGGAAAUGGAGCAGGUCAAAAAGUACUGGAGAUGUAGAUUUGUGAUACAGUACAUGCUAGCAUGCUCAAGGCCCUGGGUUCAAUUCCCAGUCUCUCUCUCU
rnacentral:SRP_RNA from 1 species